AGUGUACUCCCUCCGUCCCAAAAUUCUUGUCUUAGAUUUAUCUAGAUACGGACGUCCCAAAAUUCUUGUUUUAGAUUUACCUAGAUACGGAUGUAUCUAACACUAAAAUGUGAAUAGAUACAUCCGUAUGUAGACAAAUCUAAGACAAUAAUUUUGGGACGGAGGGAGUACUAU
rfam:Triticum aestivum genome assembly, contig: Triticum_aestivum_CS42_TGACv1_scaffold_362028_4DS